rnacentral:rRNA from 1 species
UACGUAGGGACCAGGCGUUGUUCGGAUUUACUGGGCGUAAAGGGCGCGUAGGCGGCGUGUCAAGUCAAUUGUGAAAUCUCCGGGCUUAACUCGGAACGGUCAAUUGAUACUGAUGUGCUAGAGUGCAGAAGGGGCAAUCGGAAUUCUUGGUGUAGCGGUGAAAUGCGUAGAUAUCAAGAGGAACACCUGAGGUGAAGACGGGUUGCUGGGCUGACACUGACGCUGAGGCGCGAAAGCUAGGGUAGCAAACGGG